UUUAUUUCUUGGUCUUUUGGCUAAGAUCCAGCAUAGUAUCUGUUCUUAUCACAGUAAUACUCCUCCUUUAUAUGAGAACAUAUUAAAUUGAUUUGGGGAGUAGGAAGAUGGAACAGGAGCUCUCUCCAUCUACUCCAUGCCUCACUCUGCUAUUGCAGUACACCCAGGAAUGCUGCACCCCUC